UGUGUAGGCGGCCAGCUAAGUAGGGUGUGAAAGGCCUCGGCUCAACCGAGGCACUGCGCUCUAAACUGACUGGCUUGAGUGAGAUAGGGGUGUGCGGAACUUCCAGUGGAGCGGUGAAAUGUGUUGAUAUUGGAAGGAACGCCGGUGGCGAAAGCGGCACACUGGGUCUUGUCUGACGCUGAGACACGAAAGCCAGGGGAGCGAACGGGAUUAGAUACCCCGGUAGUCCUGGCUGUAAACGAUGAGCACUAGUUGGGAGGGGCCUCGGCCCAUCCGAACGCAGCGAAAGCAUUAAGUGCUCCGCCUGGGGAGUAUGGUCGCAAGGCUGAA
rnacentral:rRNA from 1 species